rnacentral:rRNA from 1 species
GAAACGACUCUUGGCAAUGGAUAUCUCAGCUCUUGUUACAAAGAAGAACGUAGCGAAAUGCGAUACUUAGUGUGAAUUGGAGAAUCCCGUGAAUCAUCGAUUUUUUGAACACAAUUUGCGCUCGAGGCUUUGGUCGAGGGCACAUCUGUCUAGGCGUCGCAU